CAACAAACUGCUGCAAAAGCAAAUAAAUCCUUAGGUUUCAUCAGAAGAAACCUUAAAGUCCAAUCGCAAACAAUUAAAGAAAGAGCGUACCAAACACUCAUAAGACCAAAGUUGGAAUACUGUUGUACUGUAUGGGACCCAUUUACAAACGAAAAUAUAAAAUCACUGGAAAAAGUACAAAGACGGGCAGCAAGGUAUGUGUGCAAUAGACAUCACAACACCAGCAGUGUGUCUGAGAUGCUAGAUACCAUGAAAUGGCAAACAUUACAAGAACGCCGACUACGAACAAGGCUUAUAAUGUUCCACAAAAUUGUAAAUGAAAAUAUAGCCAUUCCAUCGCAAAAUGUAUUACAACAGAGUCAGUCUACUACAAGAUCCACCAAUAAAGAAUCCUACAGACAAAUUCAUUGCAAUAAAGCAGCUAUAAAUUUUCUUUUUUCUGUCAAACCAUCAAAGACUGGAACAAACUAACCCCUGAAAUUACCAAAA
rnacentral:lncRNA from 1 species